rnacentral:rRNA from 1 species
CCUACGGGAGGCAGCAGUGGGGAAUAUUGGACAAUGGGGGAAACCCUGAUGCAGCGACGCCGCGUGAGCGAUGAAGGAUUUCGGUAUGUAAAGCUCUAUCAGCAGGGAAGAAAAUGACGGUACCUGACUAAGAAGCACCGGCUAACUACGUGCCAGCAGCCGCGGUAAUACGUAGGGGGCAAGCGUUAUCCGGAUUUACUGGGUGGAGAGGGCGCGUAGACGGUACUGCAAGACAGAUGUGAAAGCCCGGGGCUCAACCCCGGGACUGCAUUUGAAACUGUAGGGCUAGAGUGCCGGAGAGGCAGACGGAAUUCCUAGUGUAGCGGUGAAAUGCGUAGAUAUUAGGAGGAACACCAGUGGCGAAGGCGGUCUGCUGGACGACGACUGACGUUGAGGCGCGAAAGCGUGGGGAGCAAACAGGAUUAGAUACCCCAGUAGUC